ensembl:lncRNA
UGGCAAAGAGCUGGCAUAAUGCAUUUCACCUCUCCUCAAACAUUUGUUAAGGGCUCAUCACGCUGCACUAUUUCUUCCCCUUGCCUUGGAUCAGCCUCUUGAGAAAUCAUUUAGCGUCACACACCCGUUCUCCACCCCCCACUAAUCAAAGAGCCUUUGCACAGUACUACAGACACUGCUUCCAUGUCUCAAAAGCACUAACAAUGCAGAUUUUUUUUUUUUUUUUUGAUUGAAGUCCACUACAGCAGUUCUCCUUUAUCGCAAACUCAAGAUUACUCAACUGCAUUUGGAAAAGAUGCAGGCACCCUCCACGGCACACAUUUGGGAUUGAGUAGAUUCCAGGGGACUAUUCCCAAGAUUAAGCACGUGUGCACACACAAAUCAAGGUCAUGGUAUCUUACACUGACUGUUGGCAGUGUUCGGACACUCUGAUUAAACACUGAUCACAAAUAAAGCCAUUCUACAGGUGAGAUGGCUAGAGAGCACAUACCGCAGAGACGAGCAGAAAAAGAAGAGCCAGUUUCAUGACUCCCAAACAGUUUUAUAUUUCCCUCUGAACGGAAAACAGAAAUAGAACAGUGAAGUCUUCUGGGACCUGGAGUUCUUCUCUUCUGAGAAAGAUGCUAAAUCACAGAAAUGCCAUCUGGGGAUGACAGAGGGUGCCAAGUUGUCUCCACAGGAGAAACAACAGUAACCAACUGGGCUGCAUUAAGAGGUGAAUGGCUAGCAGAUGAAGGCAGGUUGUUAUUCCCCUUUAGUUGGUGCUGGUGAAGCCGUAACUGGAAUAUGGUGUCUUGUUUCACCCACUCCACUUCCUGGCAGUUGAGAAACCACAGCAGAGGGACGUGAAGAUGGAAAGGAG